rnacentral:rRNA from 1 species
GGUUAAGCGACUAAGCGUACACGGUGGAUGCCCUGGCAGUCAGAGGCGAUGAAGGACGUGCUAAUCUGCGAUAAGCGUCGGUGAGGUGAUAUGAACCGUUAUAACCGGCGAUUUCCGAAUGGGGAAACCCAGUGUGUUUCGACACACUAUCAUUAACUGAAUCCAUAGGUUAAUGAGGCGAACCGGGGGAACUGAAACAUCUAAGUACCCCGAGGAAAAGAAAUCAACCGAGAUUCCCCCAGUAGCGGCGAGCGAACGGGGAGGAGCCCAGAGCCUGAAUCAGUGUGUGUGUUAGUGGAAGCGUCUGGAAAGGCGCGCGAUACAGGGUGACAGCCCCGUACACAAAAAUGCACAUAUUGUGAGCUCGAUGAGUAGGGCGGGACACGUGGUAUCCUGUCUGAAUAUGGGGGGACCAUCCUCCAAGGCUAAAUACUCCUGACUGACCGAUAGUGAACCAGUACCGUGAGGGAAAGGCGAAAAGAACCCCGGCGAGGGGAGUGAAAAAGAACCUGAAACCGUGUACGUACAAGCAGUGGGAGCCUCUUAAUGGGGUGACUGCGUACCUUUUGUAUAAUGGGUCAGCGACUUAUAUUCUGUAGCAAGGUUAACCGAAUAGGGGAGCCGAAGGGAAACCGAGUCUUAACUGGGCGUUAAGUUGCAGGGUAUAGACCCGAAACCCGGUGAUCUAGCCAUGGGCAGGUUGAAGGUUGGGUAACACUAACUGGAGGACCGAACCGACUAAUGUUGAAAAAUUAGCGGAUGACUUGUGGCUGGGGGUGAAAGGCCAAUCAAACCGGGAGAUAGCUGGUUCUCCCCGAAAGCUAUUUAGGUAGCGCCUCGUGAAUUCAUCUCCGGGGGUAGAGCACUGUUUCGGCAAGGGGGUCAUCCCGACUUACCAACCCGAUGCAAACUGCGAAUACCGGAGAAUGUUAUCACGGGAGACACACGGCGGGUGCUAACGUCCGUCGUGAAGAGGGAAACAACCCAGACCGCCAGCUAAGGUCCCAAAGUCAUGGUUAAGUGGGAAACGAUGUGGGAAGGCCCAGACAGCCAGGAUGUUGGCUUAGAAGCAGCCAUCAUUUAAAGAAAGCGUAAUAGCUCACUGGUCGAGUCGGCCUGCGCGGAAGAUGUAACGGGGCUAAACCAUGCACCGAAGCUGCGGCAGCGACACUAUGUGUUGUUGGGUAGGGGAGCGUUCUGUAAGCCUGUGAAGGUGGCCUGUGAGGG